UCCAGUGGCUUCUUCUGACCUCUGUGGGCCCCAGGCACACAGGUACUCUGCACAUGCACAUGCAGGCACACAGGUACUCUGCACAUGCACAUGGCGGCACACAGGUACUCUGCACAUGCACAUGCAGGCACACAGGUACUCUGCACAUGCACAUGCAGGCACACAGGUAAUCUGCAUAUGCACCAGGAAUUCAGGUACUCUGCAUAUGCACAUGCAGGCACACAGGUACUCUGCACAUGCACAUGCAGGCACAAGGUAAUCUGCAUGUGCAUCAGGCACACAGGUACUCUGCACAUGCACAUGCAGGCACACAGGUACUCUGCACAUGCACAUGCAGGCACACAGGUACUCUGCACAUGCACAUGCAGGCACACAGGUACUCUGCACAUGCACAUGCAGGCACACAGGUACUCUGCACAUGCACAUGCAGGCACACAGGUACUCUGCACAUGCACAUGCAGGCACACAGGUACUCUGCACAUGCACAUGCAGGCACACAGGUACUCUGCACAUGCACAUGCAGGCACACAGGUACUCUGCACAUGCACAUGCAGGCACACAGGUACUCUGCACAUGCACAUGCAGGCACACAGGUACUCUG